rnacentral:rRNA from 1 species
UAAAAUAUUUUAGUACGAAAGGAUCAAAUAUUUUAAUUAAAUUAUAAAAAAAUUUUUUGAAUUUUAAUAAAUUAUAAAUAAAAUUUUUAAUUUAAUAAAAUAUAAUAUGAUAUAUAUAUAUAUAUAUAUAUAUUAUGAAAAAUAAAUAUGA